rnacentral:rRNA from 1 species
ACAUCUUUAAUCGGAUUGAUCUCACACCUGGCCACCCUUGUUUACCUUAAACCUGUUGCUUUGGUGGGCCUGCCACAGGGCUGCCGGGAGACUUGUGUUUCCGGGCUAGUGCUCACCAAAGUCCUUUUAAACUCUAGCUAUUUUUUCUGCUGUCUGAGCAUGCAAAUGCAAAAAAUUUAGUUAAAACUUUCAACAACGGAUCUCUUGGUUCUGGCAUCGAUGAAGAACGCAGCGAAAUGCGAUAAGUAAUGUGAAUUGCAGAAUUCCGUGAAUCAUCGAAUUUUUGAACGCAUAUUGCGCCCUCUGGUAUUCCGGAGGGCAUGCCUGUCCGAGCGUCAUUACUAUCUUCAAGCGCAGCUUGUGUGUUGAGCAUCUGUUCUUUAAUGGACAUGCUUGAAAUGCAGUGGCAAUGCAGGCUUUGGUAGCCCAAGCGUUAUAGGGCUUUGUCACACGCUUUGUUGGCUCCAGUCGGCAUUUAGGCCCAUAACCUUAAAACCUAAAACUGACCUCGGAUCAGGCAAGAAUACCCGCUGAACUUAAGCAUAUCAAUAAGCGGAGGA